UUAAGCGACUAAGCGUACACGGUGGAUGCCCUGGCAGUCAGAGGCGAUGAAGGACGUGCUAAUCUGCGAUAAGCGUCGGUAAGGUGAUAUGAACCGUUAUAACCGGCGAUUUCCGAAUGGGGAAACCCAGUGUGUUUCGACACACUAUCAUUAACUGAAUCCAUAGGUUAAUGAGGCGAACCGGGGGAACUGAAACAUCUAAGUACCCCGAGGAAAAGAAAUCAACCGAGAUUCCCCCAGUAGCGGCGAGCGAACGGGGAGCAGCCCAGAGCCUGAAUCAGUGUGUGUGUUAGUGGAAGCGUCUGGAAAGGCGCGCGAUACAGGGUGACAGCCCCGUACACAAAAAUGCACAUGCUGUGAGCUCGAUGAGUAGGGCGGGACACGUGGUAUCCUGUCUGAAUAUGGGGGGACCAUCCUCCAAGGCUAAAUACUCCUGACUGACCGAUAGUGAACCAGUACCGUGAGGGAAAGGCGAAAAGAACCCCGGCGAGGGGAGUGAAAAAGAACCUGAAACCGUGUACGUACAAGCAGUGGGAGCACGCUUCGGCGUGUGACUGCGUACCUUUUGUAUAAUGGGUCAGCGACUUAUAUUCUGUAGCAAGGUUAACCGAAUAGGGGAGCCGAAGGGAAACCGAGUCUUAACUGGGCGUUAAGUUGCAGGGUAUAGACCCGAAACCCGGUGAUCUAGCCAUGGGCAGGUUGAAGGUUGGGUAACACUAACUGGAGGACCGAACCGACUAAUGUUGAAAAAUUAGCGGAUGACUUGUGGCUGGGGGUGAAAGGCCAAUCAAACCGGGAGAUAGCUGGUUCUCCCCGAAAGCUAUUUAGGUAGCGCCUCGUGAACUCAUCUCCGGGGGUAGAGCACUGUUUCGGCAAGGGGGUCAUCCCGACUUACCAACCCGAUGCAAACUGCGAAUACCGGAGAAUGUUAUCACGGGAGACACACGGCGGGUGCUAACGUCCGUCGUGAAGAGGGAAACAACCCAGACCGCCAGCUAAGGUCCCAAAGUCAUGGUUAAGUGGGAAACGAUGUGGGAAGGCCCAGACAGCCAGGAUGUUGGCUUAGAAGCAGCCAUCAUUUAAAGAAAGCGUAAUAGCUCACUGGUCGAGUCGGCCUGCGCGGAAGAUGUAACGGGGCUAAACCAUGCACCGAAGCUGCGGCAGCGACGCUGAUGCGUUGUUGGGUAGGGGAGCGUUCUGUAAGCCUGCGAAGGUGUGCUGUGAGGCAUGCUGGAGGUAUCAGAAGUGCGAAUGCNNNNNNNNNNACUAUGUGUUGUUGGGUAGGGGAGCGUUCUGUAAGCCUGUGAAGGUGUGCUGUGAGGCAUGCUGGAGGUAUCAGAAGUGCGAAUGCUGACAUAAGUAACGAUAAAGCGGGUGAAAAGCCCGCUCGCCGGAAGACCAAGGGUUCCUGUCCAACGUUAAUCGGGGCAGGGUGAGUCGACCCCUAAGGCGAGGCCGAAAGGCGUAGUCGAUGGGAAACAGGUUAAUAUUCCUGUACUUGGUGUUACUGCGAAGGGGGGACGGAGAAGGCUAUGUUGGCCGGGCGACGGUUGUCCCGGUUUAAGCGUGUAGGCUGGUUUUCCAGGCAAAUCCGGAAAAUCAAGGCUGAGGCGUGAUGACGAGGCACUACGGUGCUGAAGCAACAAAUGCCCUGCUUCCAGGAAAAGCCUCUAAGCAUCAGGUAACAUCAAAUCGUACCCCAAACCGACACAGGUGGUCAGGUAGAGAAUACCAAGGCGCUUGAGAGAACUCGGGUGAAGGAACUAGGCAAAAUGGUGCCGUAACUUCGGGAGAAGGCACGCUGAUAUGUAGGUGAGGUCCCUUGCGGAUGGAGCUGAAAUCAGUCGAAGAUACCAGCUGGCUGCAACUGUUUAUUAAAAACACAGCACUGUGCAAACACGAAAGUGGACGUAUACGGUGUGACGCCUGCCCGGUGCCGGAAGGUUAAUUGAUGGGGUCAGCGCAAGCGAAGCUCUUGAUCGAAGCCCCGGUAAACGGCGGCCGUAACUAUAACGGUCCUAAGGUAGCGAAAUUCCUUGUCGGGUAAGUUCCGACCUGCACGAAUGGCGUAAUGAUGGCCAGGCUGUCUCCACCCGAGACUCAGUGAAAUUGAACUCGCUGUGAAGAUGCAGUGUACCCGCGGCAAGACGGAAAGACCCCGUGAACCUUUACUAUAGCUUGACACUGAACAUUGAGCCUUGAUGUGUAGGAUAGGUGGGAGGCUUUGAAGUGUGGACGCCAGUCUGCAUGGAGCCGAACUUGAAAUACCACCCUUUAAUGUUUGAUGUUCUAACGUUGACCCGUGAUCCGGGUUGCGGACAGUGUCUGGUGGGUAGUUUGACUGGGGCGGUCUCCUCCUAAAGAGUAACGGAGGAGCACGAAGGUUGGCUAAUCCUGGUCGGACAUCAGGAGGUUAGUGCAAUGGCAUAAGCCAGCUUGACUGCGAGCGUGACGGCGCGAGCAGGUGCGAAAGCAGGUCAUAGUGAUCCGGUGGUUCUGAAUGGAAGGGCCAUCGCUCAACGGAUAAAAGGUACUCCGGGGAUAACAGGCUGAUACCGCCCAAGAGUUCAUAUCGACGGCGGUGUUUGGCACCUCGAUGUCGGCUCAUCACAUCCUGGGGCUGAAGUAGGUCCCAAGGGUAUGGCUGUUCGCCAUUUAAAGUGGUACGCGAGCUGGGUUUAGAACGUCGUGAGACAGUUCGGUCCCUAUCUGCCGUGGGCGCUGGAGAACUGAGGGGGGCUGCUCCUAGUACGAGAGGACCGGAGUGGACGCAUCACUGGUGUUCGGGUUGUCAUGCCAAUGGCACUGCCCGGUAGCUAAAUGCGGAAGAGAUAAGUGCUGAAAGCAUCUAAGCACGAAACUUGCCCCGAGAUGAGUUCUCCCUGACUCCUUGAGAGUCCUGAAGGAACGUUGAAGACGACGACGUUGAUAGGCCGGGUGUGUAAGCGCAGCGAUGCGUUGAGCUAACCGGUACUAAUGAACCGUGAGGCUUAACCUU
rnacentral:rRNA from 1 species